GAAGUGUCUCAUGGUUCAUACGUGGUGGCACCUGGAACUUUACUACGUGUAAAUGAUGCAGCACCAAUCUCAUCCGCAGGGGGUGCAGUAGCAUCACUUGGUGGUGGCCAGUCAGCAAGUAUGUCCAGUACUCUAUUUGUCAGCCUAGAAGCGAGCAUCGGUGGUGGCUCACAGUUGCUAGCAGAAUUGUACGCAGAAGAUGACGUCACUUCGGCACCUAUGUCGCCUCCGAAAGUACUGGAGAAAACGACACGUCCAUCUACAACCGAUCAUCUACAUCCGGAGUUACACUCAUAUCCGGAGAAAUUUCUUCAGACGAUUAACCAGGUAAUGUUGAACGGGAGUGGGCGACGGUGUCUAGCAAACGCCGAGGAACCGGCGGAAUUUGUGGACGCAAAUACGAAGGAGUGUUGGCAUCAUGCUAUGAAAGAAGAGUUGGGGUCGAUCCAUGACAAUAAUACAUGGGAGCUUGUGGAUCUUCCCAACAAUGAAAAAGCUAUAGAGCUCAAGUGGGAAUUCAAGAUCAAGAAAGAUGUUGAAGGGUGCAUGAAGCACAAAGCAAUGUUUGUAGCCAAAGAGUAUGUGCAAGAGGAAGGUGUGGAAUUCGAAGAAGUGUUCGUUCCCAUUGCAAAGAUGGAGUCGGUGAGAUUACUCAUCUCUCUCACGGCUCAGGAAUCAUGGAAAGUACAUUACAUGGAUGUAAAAUCCGUGAUUUUGAAUGUCGAGUUGAAAAGAGAUGUGUAUGUGAAUCAGUCACCGAGCUUCAUCAAAGAGGGAGAAGAACACAAGGUACUGAAGUUACAUAAAGUCUUGUACAGGCUACAGGAAGACCCUCGUGAGUGGAACAUCAAACUUGAUCAGACGAUGAUUUCUCUUGGAUUUGAGAAAGCCCCACUAGAACAUGCAAUGUACAAGAGAGGUGAAGGAAGGGACCGUCUACUAGUUGGCAUCUAUGUCGACUACCUAUUAAUUACCGGAGCAGAUGAAGAGUUGAUUGCAAAGUUCAAGCUACAGAUGAAAGAGCUUUUCAAGAUGGAUGAUCUCGGUCUUUUGAGCUACUACCCUGGGAUAGAGGUACAUCAAAAGACGGAGGGAAUCACACUAUGCCGGGAGGCAUACACAAGAAAGCUACUUGAAAGCCGUGGCAUGAAAGAUUGCAAUCCAAUUGAUGCUUCAAUGGAA
rnacentral:rRNA from 1 species